UUUUGAGAAGCAGAGACAGUAGUUGCCUGGCAGGGUGAACAGGAGGCCAAUAUGAUGAGAAAGGAGACAUCCACAAAGGUCUGCUGCCAGUGUUGCUAGAGGCAUGGCAUCUGAGGUCAGGAUCCAUACAUAAUUGAUGCCAUGGGAUAAAAUGACGACUAUAGGAGCAAAUCCUUAUCUGAUCUGCAGGAAGAGAAGCCCAUGAUCAAGACAACUCUGUCUCGGCAGCCAUACUGAAACAGACGUGUGGUCUAUUUCAAUACUUCAUUUAAAGGCUACAUGGUAGCAAAGCAAGCAAGCAAGUCUGAAGAUAAGUC